UAGGGAAUCUUCGGCAAUGGACGGAAGUCUGACCGAGCGACGCCGCGUGAGUGAAGAAGGUUUUCGGAUCGUAAAGCUCUGUUGUAAGAGAAGAACGAGUGUGAGAGUGGAAAGUUCACACUGUGACGGUAUCUUACCAGAAAGGGACGGCUAACUACGUGCCAGCAGCCGCGGUAAUACGUAGGUCCCGAGCGUUGUCCGGAUUUAUUGGGCGUAAAGCGAGCGCAGGCGGUUAGAUAAGUCUGAAGUUAAAGGCUGUGGCUUAACCAUAGUAGGCUUUGGAAACUGUUUAACUUGAGUGCAAGAGGGGAGAGUGGAAUUCCAUGUGUAGCGGUGAAAUGCGUAGAUAUAUGGAGGAACACCGGUGGCGAAAGCGGCUCUCUGGCUUGUAACUGACGCUGAGGCUCGAAAGCGUGGGGAGCAAACAGGAUUAGAUACCCUGGUAGUCCACGCUGUAAACGAUGAGUGCUAGGUGUUAGACCCUUUCCGGGGUUUAGUGCCGUAGCUAACGCAUUAAGCACUCCGCCUGGGGAGUACGACCGCAAGGUUG
rnacentral:rRNA from 1 species